rnacentral:pre_miRNA from 1 species
AAAUUCAGCUGAAAAAGUCAUAAACACAAAAGUUGUAGCAUUGAUCGAGAUAUACAAAUUUUAUUUUGGUCAUUUGUUCAUUUGAUAAAGUGAUAGUAACGUUGUUCACAAAAUUUACACAUCUCUCUUAUAAUUUAUGAAACCAUAUGGGAGAUGUGUAAAAUUUGUGAACAAUAUUACUAUCACUUUAUCGGAUGAAAAAUGACCAAAAUAAAAAUUGUAGAUCUAGAUGGAUUGUACAACUUUGUUGUUGAUGACUUUUUCAGUUGAAGUC